GAUGAACGCUGGCGGCGUGCCUAAUACAUGCAAGUCGAGCGAACAGACGAGGAGCUUGCGCCUCUCACGUUAGCCGCGGACGGGUGAGUAACACGUGUAUAACCUACCUAUCAGUCUGGGAUAAUUUCGGGACACCGGAGCUAACACCGGAUAAUAUACUGAAGCGCAUUGUUCAAUGGUGAAAGACGGCUUUGCGGUCACUUAUAGAUGGAUCCGCGCCGCAUGAGCUAGUUGUUAAGGUAACAGCUUACCAAGGCAACGAUGCGUGGCCGACGUGACAGAGUGGUAGGCCACACUGGAACUGAGACGCGGUCCAGACUCCUACGGGAGGCCGCAGUAGGGAACCUGCCGCAAUGGGCGAAAGCUUGGCGGAGCGAGGCGGCGUGAGAGAUGAAGGUCUUCGGAUCGUAAAACUGUGUUAUUAGGGAAGAACAAAUGUGUAAGUAAAUAUGCACGUCUUGACGGUACCUAAUAAGAAAGCCACGGCUAACUACGUG
rnacentral:rRNA from 1 species